AUGGGGGUCGUGGGGACGCGGGGGGCGCCUGCGGGGAGCGGCGAGGGAGGGGCGGCGACGGCGUGUCCGUGUGCGUGUUGGUGUGCGUGUGCGCGCAGGGCUGAGCGGGCGUGCAAGGGAUGUGCGCGCCCAGGUGUGUGUGCGGGUGUGCAAGGGAUGUGCGUGCCCAGGUGUGUGUGCGUGUGUGCGAGGGAUGUGCGUGCCCAGGUGUGUGUGCGGGUGUGCGAGGGAUGUGCGUGUGCUGCUCGGUGUGUGCGGGUGUGCAAGGGAUGUGCAUGUCCAGAUGUGUUUGUGCAAGCAUUCAAGGGAUGUGCGUGUGCGUGCCCAGGUGUGUGUGCGAGUGUGCAAAGGAUGUGCCUGUGCUGCUCGGUGUGUGUGCGUGGGCAAGGGAUGUUCGUGCCCAGAUGUGUAUGCGUGCGUGCAAGGGAUGUGCGUGUGUGUAAGGAAUGUGCGUGUGCAGAUGUGUCUGUGUGUGUACAGGGGAUGUGCAUGUGCAUGCCGAGAUGUGUGUGCGAGUGUGCAAGGGAUGUGCGUGUGCAUGCCCAGGUGUGUGUGUGUGCGCAAGGGAUGUGCAUGUGCUGCUCAGUGUGUGCGUGUGUGCAAGGGAUGUGUGUUCCCAGAUGUGUGUGCAAGCCUGCAAGGGAUGUGCGUGUGCAUGCUAGAUGUGUGAGCACGUGUGCAAGGGAUGUGUGUGUGUGUAAGGAAUGUGCGUGUGCAGAUGUGUCUGCGUGUGUACAGGGGAUGUGCAUGUGCAUGCCCAGAUGUGCGCGCGGGCGUGCAAGGGACGUGCGUGUCCGGCUCAGUGUGCUUGUGCAGAUGUGUGUGCAGGGCUGUGUGUCCGUGCAGACACGUGUGCAUGCAGGUGUGUGUGUGCAUGUGAAGGUGUGUGCAUGCAGCUGCAGGGGACACGUGCAGGCACACGGAUGUGCAGGUGUGUGCAGGUGUGUGCACGCAGUGUGGUGCCCGUGUUUGUGGGGCCUGGAGCUGGGUGCUGCAUGUGUGGGAAUGCACAAGUGCACAGCGGUGCACAGUGUGUGCGAAGGGAUGCAGGCAUGCACAGGGGUGCACUCUGUGUGUGUGUGUGCACGGCAUUGCACGUGGGGAUGCAUGAGUGCAUGGGUGUGCACACACGGACACCGUUGGGGGUGCAUGCUUGCAAAGGUGUGUGUGCAUGCACACGGUGGGGAUGCAUGCUUGCAGAGGUGUGUGUGCAUGCAGACUUGCAUGGGACAGGGUGUGCAUCCACCAGGGCACGUGGGGGUGACUGUGUGUGCCAUGUGUGCACCGCUGCAGCACACAUGCACCUGUGUGCAGACACUCUGUGCACACAUGCACUGCUCCGUGUGUGUGCUUUGCAUCUCUCUGUGCAUGGCAUGCACGUUCACAGGGAGCACCGGGCCCUGUCCUGUGUGUGUGUGUGUGAGUGCUGCAGGUGUGUGCAGGGCUGGGCUCACCUGCAAAUGCACACGUGCAGGGUGUGCAUGCUCAGGGCGUGUGCUGCAGGGCUGGGGGCACCCGACAGGGCACACGGCUGUGACCCAACACCCUUUCAGGGCAGGUUUUACCCAGAGCUGUGACAUUUGUGCUCCCCUCCCCAGGGAAGCAGGGCCAGGCCUGGGGUGCUGCCACCCCUGCUGGGCUGCUCCUGGCUUACUACUGAGUUACUCCUUGCUUCCUCUGAGGCUGCUGCCGAGAUGCUGCUGGGAUAUUCUCAGUAAUUCCUGA
rnacentral:lncRNA from 1 species